CCUACGGGUGGCAGCAGUGGGGAAUAUUGGACAAUGGGGGCAACCCUGAUCCAGCCAUGCCGCGUGUGUGAAGAAGGCCCUCGGGUUGUAAAGCACUUUCAGUGAGGAAGAACGCCUGGUGGUUAAUACCCAUCAGGAAGACAUCACUCACAGAAGAAGCACCGGCUAACUCCGUGCCAGCAGCCGCGGUAAUACGGAGGGUGUGAGCGUUAAUCGGAAUUACUGGGCGUAAAGCGCGCGUAGGUGGCUUGAUAAGCCGGUUGUGAAAGCCCCGGGCUCAACCUGGGAACGGCAUCCGGAACUGUCAAGCUAGAGUGCAGGAGAGGAAGGUAGAAUUCCCGGUGUAGCGGUGAAAUGCGUAGAGAUCGGGAGGAAUACCAGUGGCGAAGGCGGCCUUCUGGACUGACACUGACACUGAGGUGCGAAAGCGUGGGUAGCAAACAGGAUUAGAUACCCUGGUAGUC
rnacentral:rRNA from 1 species